GGGGACUGACUGCAAAGGCAGAGAGAGACACAGCGAGGGAGGGAACACAAGCAGGAGGAGUGCAAGAGGAAGAAACAGGCUCUCUGCUGACUAGGGAGCCCAACAUGGGACUUCAUCCCAGUACCCUGGGAUCACGACCUGAGCCAAAGGCAGACUUACUGACUGAGCCACACAUGUGCCCAUGGAUCGUGAUUUUUAUCAUGUUUCCAUUUACCUUACCUUUUGAUCAUUGUAGCAGGAAGAUGGGUCUUACAGAAUAACAGCGGAUUAUUAUAAAUUUAAUCAAGUAGCAUAUCUAAUUGUAUCUGCUCUUCUAGAGUAUGCAGACAUCAAAAUCCCUAUCUUCAUGUUCCUUCCGUUCAAUUUCCUGGAUCUGUACAAAGACCUACUCAAUGGAUCCCUUAAAAAUGCCAUCUCGUAUCUCACUGAUCCUCCAUAUGACAAAAAGAAGCAUGUUACACUAGAUAACUUGGUAAGACAAUGUAUAUAAAAAGAAUGAAGAAAAUCCAAGAUGAUAUCAGGAUCUGAAACUUCAGUAAAGUUUCUGGGAGUCCACUGAUUUGGGACAGGUUGAAAUAGCACCCCCAACGUGCAGGUAAAGUUACUAACCUUCUACCCUUUCUCACAGGGGAAAAAAAAAAAAAAAAGCAAAAGAUUUCAUGGCCUUCUUCUGGAAUUGGAGAAACAUUCCCAUUAAUGUGUUUCUCUGACACAUUGACUGAACCUAAAAGCUUCUUACUUUGAGUGGGACACAAAUCAGUAGAGAGCUUUCUAUCUGGUAUGAACCAUAGUUCAAGCAGCUCUGCUACUUGGCCUUUAUGACUCAUCAGAUCCAAAGUGUUUAAAAUAUCAAAUGAGAAAAUAAGGAUGCUGAAUAGAGCCAAUGGCAAAUACCAAUACAAGAGUCAUGUAGUGGCCCCUAGGGGUUUUGGUGAAGGUCAUGCCCUUUUCUGCAAAUCAUUAUUUCCCUUAAGAGAAACACCUUGCUGUUAAACUCUGACAGAGACUAAUUGUGCAGUCACGGGACACCAGAUGACCAUUGUGACUGGAUUAUCUCAUCUUCCUCACCAUAAACUGAGUUCACCCUGGAGCAUAUUAUCAUCAAGUAGAAGUGUUUUUCUAUAGGUCUCAAAGGACAAACACAUUCUAAAAGCAUAAGCUGUAUGAGCAAGUGGUUAAUAAUUCCAUCAUGCCUACCUCUGACCUAAUGCCAGCCCUCUUCAGCUAAUACUUAGGAUUCUGGAGAGUGACCUGUGAAUGACUGACUACAGAGGAAAAAAUCUAGAACUGGGUUUAGAGAAGAUUCUGCAUGAUUUUCAAGCACCAGCUAAAAGGGUUGUUGAAAUGUUUCAUACACAUUUAGGGGUGCUCCUAAGGGACAGUGAAGAAGGGAAACCUCACUCUGAAUAGAAAUUUGAAAUCUCUUUUUCCAGUUUUCUUGUCAAUAGCAAUGGUCUGAGAUUAGAUCUAUACAGAUGCACUGGGACCUGCUAAUGGUCUGGACAGACAUUCAGAUAUCUGGAGACUAGAGGAUUAAGGGUGAAGUUCGCAGAAAGGUAUGUAAAUAUCUGAAUGGAUUCCGAUUGUGAGAAUUUCCAUAGACUACAUGAAUGCUCAUCAAGAGACCACAGGGAGAAACUGGAAAGAUGAACAAGCCACAUCUCCUUACUGCCUCCCCAGUGUUUGCUGAUUAGCUCAUGAGCAACAUGGUGAUAUUGGCAGAAACGAAAACUAUACAUGGACUCCAUAACAUGAACUUAACACUUAUCAAGGCUACUUGACAACUAAAGAAUGAAGUCAUCAAAAAGAAAAACAGAGCUGAAAGCUGUGGAGAUAGAAGAAAAGCCUUGAUGCUUAAAACUAGAUCCAGCUAUACCUGAAGUCUAGAUUUUUCACUUAUAGGAGCCAAUAAAUUAUCUUCUCAGAUUUCACUGGUUGAAUUGGUUUUCCAACACCAUAUUAUCAAAGAGUACUCUUUUACACAAGUCAUGAUGUUGAAUUACUAUAUUCAGCUAAUUUGGGGAACAGAGGUACUACAAAGAUGCUGGUGUCUUUUCCAUUUCAGAGGGAAAAUAUUCAUAUUUUCCUCUCUCUCAGGAACCAUUAGCAUGUGUUUGUGCAGACCAUCACCCAAACUAUGAGAUUUCUUGAGGAAAAAAUUAGCAAUUCUUUUCUUUGGUACAUCAAUACUGUAUUUUCUUGGUGGGAGAAAAAACUAAAUAAAAAUUCAAAAUAAAGACAAAAAUAAGAAACAAUAAUUUAUUUUUUAAAUUUUUUCUUAUACAGUAAUUAGUGUUGCUAAUAUUUUGUCAUAUAUCACUUCAGUCUUUUUCUACAUUUUUUUUCAAAACUGUAAUCUUAAUGUAAGUAUAUUUUAUGUUUUUUUUUAAACUACUACCUCUUGAACACCAUUUCAUGUUUCUCCACAUCAUUUUUUGGAAAGACACCAUUCUUUAACUUUUUAUGGAAGUAAGUUUACAGUGAAAUUUCCAAUUUUAAGUAUAAAUUUAUGAGAUUUGACAUAUGAACAAUGUUGUUUAACCACCACCUCAGUCAUGAUAUAGAAUCCAUCAUCCAAAAAGUUACCUUUUGUAAUCCCUAUCAAAAUACCAUCAAUUUUUUUCAAAGAAAUGGAACAAAUAAUACCAAAAUUUAUGUGGAACCAGAAAAGACCCCAGAUAGUCAGAGGAAUGUUGAAAAAGAAAGCCAAAGCUGGCAGCAUCACAAUUCCAGACUUCAGGCUCUAUUAAAAAGCCGUAAUCAUUAAGACAGUAUGAUAGACACAUAGAUCAAUGGAACAGAACAGAGAGCCCAGAAAUUGACCUUCAACUCUAUAGUCAACUACUCUUCAACAGAGCAGGAAAGAAUGUCCAAAUGGAAAAAAAACAGUCCCUUCAACAAGUGGUGUUGGGAAAAUUGGACAGCCACAUGCAGAACGAAACUGCACCAUUUCCUUAUACCAUUGACAAAAAUAGACUCAAAAUGGGUGAAAGACCUCAAGUGAGAUAGGAAUCCAUCAAAAUCCUUAAGGAGAACAAAGGCAGAAACCUAUUCAACCUCAGCUGCAGCAGCUUCUUCCCAGAAACAUCACCAAAGGCAAGGGAAGCAAGGGCAAAAACUAAGUAUUAGGACUUCAUCAAGAUAAAAAGCUUUUGCACAGCAAAAGAAAUAGUCAACAAAACCAAAAGACAACUCACAGAAUGGGAGAAGAUAUCUGCAAGUGACAUAUCAGAUAAAGGGCUAGUAUCCAAAAUCUAUAAAGAACUUAUCAAACUCAACACCAAAGAACAAAUAACCCAAUCAAGAAAUGGGCAGAACACAUGAACAGACAUUUCUGCAAAGAAGACAUCCAAUGGCCAAUAGAGACAUGACAAAGAAGACAUCCAAAUGGCCAAUAGACACAGGACACAUGACUCAGCAUCAGCGAAAUACAAAUCAAAACCACAGUGAGAUACCACCUCACACCAGUCAGAAUGGCGAAAAUUAACAAGUCAGGAAACUACAGAUGUUGGUGAGGAUGCGGAGAAAGAGGAACCUUCCUACACUGUGGAUGGGAAUGCAAGGUGGUGCAGCCACUCUGGAAAAGAGCAUGGAGGUUCCCCAAAAAGUUGAAAAUAAAGCUACCCUAUGACCCAGCAAUUGCACUACAGUCUAUUUACCCCAAAGAUACAAAUGCAGUGAUCCAAAGGGGCACGUUGCACCCCGAUGUUUAUAGCAGCAAUGCCAAACUAUGGAAAGAGCCCAGAUGUCCAUUGACAGAUGAAUGGAUGAAGAAUAUUUGGUAUGUAUGUAUGUGUGUGUGUGUGCAUAUAUAUGCACACACAUAUGGAAUGGAAUGUGGAUGGAAUAUAUAUAGAAUGGGAUGUAGAUACAUGGCAAUGGAAUAUAUAUAUAUAUGGAAUAUUAGGCAGCCAUCAAAAAAUGAAAUCCUGCUUUUUGCAAAAAUGUGGAUGGAACUAGUGGGUAUUAUGCUAAGCGAAAUAAGUCAAUCAGAGAAAAACAAUUAUCUUAUGAUAUCACUGAAUGAUAUGUGGAAUUUGAAGAACAAGGCAGAGGAUCAUAGGGGAAAAAAGGAAAAAAAUGAAAUAAGACAAAGCCAGAGAGGGAGAUAAACCAUAAUAAUAAUAAAAAGUUACCUUCCCCUUUUCAAUCAACUUCUGAACUUUUGCCCAUUUCCAAAAAUAAUUAUUUUCUAUUUUUUCUACCCACCUUUUCCUAGGAUUCCAUAUUGCUAGUAACACAUGUGUUAGACUGCUUUCUUUUGCCUCACACAUCACUGAUGCUUUUUUCCUUUUUAACUUUUUUUAUACCUUUGCUUCAUUUUGGAUAGUUUGUAUUGCUGUGUCUUCAAACUGAUCUCUUUUUCUACAGUGCCUUCUGCUGUUAAUCUAAUCCAAUGUAUUUCUCAUUUCUUAUAUUUUAUUUCUCAUCUCUAAACUCUGUCUUCUCACUUAAGUUCCUUUCAUUAUCAUGUUCUCCUUACCUCUUUGAACAUAAAAAAUAUAGUAAUAAAAGCUGUUUUGAUGUCCUCUUUUUGCUUGUUCCUGCAUUUUUGUAAUUUCUGAAUUUCUUUCUAUUGGCUGUUUUUUUCUCUGACUGUGGGUUUGUAUGUUUCUACUUCUAUGCAUGACCAAGAAUUUUUUAUUGAUUGCCAGGAAGAGUGAAAUUUACAUCCCUGGUUGCUGGAUUCUGUUCUGAUGUACAGUUAUUUGCAACCAGCUGCAACCUUUUUAGUUUUGCUUUUAAGCUCUGUUAGAGAAGGUCCAGAGCAGCCUUUAGUCAAGUCCAAUUUAUCUCCAUUAUUAAAGUGGUAACUUUCCAAGUAUUGUGCUCUGUGAAAUCUUUGAGCUCUAGCUGGUAAAAACAUGAAUAUUUGCCAACCCUGUGUUCUCCAAAUAUUCUUCUACUCAUCCUUCUAGCAGUUACUUCCUUGGCCUCAAUAUCCUCUCACAUGUGCACAGAUCACUACUCAAACACUCCAGGGGAUCCCUCUAGAGAUCUCUGGAGCUCUCUCUUUUUGAGUUCUUUCCCCUUAGUACUCCACUCUAAAAAUUCUGGCAGCCUUGACUUCCCCAAACUCUGACUUCCAUCUCUUUAAUUCAGCAAGACUAGCAGAGACUUUCCCUCCCCCCCCCAUCUCAUUUCCUCUAGAUAAUAACCUAGUAUAAUCUUAUACUCAUCUGGUUUAUUUCUUUUUUGUCAGUCCUACACUGCUUGUUGUCCGAUACUUAAAAAUUACUCUGUAUAAUUUCUCUGGUACUUUUCAGUUAACAUAGUAGAGUAAAUCCAAACCCAUAAUUCCAUCCUGGCUGAAGCUGAAGUCUACAAUAUCAUUCUCCACCACCCCCUGCCUUCUUUUUUCCUUUUAUUUAUUUAUUUUGAUUAUUAACAUAUAAUGUAUUAUUUGUUUCAGGGGUACAGGUAUGUGAUUCAUCGGUCUUACACAAUUCACAGUGCUCACCAUAGCAUAUAACCUCCCCAAUGUCCAUUACCCAUCCCCCUCACCUCCAACAACCCUCAGUUUGUUUCCUGAGGUUAGGAGCCUCUUAUGGUUUAUCUCCCUCUCUGGCUUUGUCUUGUUUCAUUUUUUUUUCUUUCUUCCCCUAUGAUUCUCUGCCUUGUUUUUAAAAUUCCACAUACCAUUCAGUGAGAUCAUAAUUUUUUUUCUCUGGUUGACUUACUGCGCUUAGCAUAAUACCCACUAGUUCCAUCCACAUUGUUGCAAAAAGCAGAAUUUCAUUUUUUGAUGGCUGCCUAAUAUACCAUGGUGUAUAUACACAUAUACGUACAUACCACAUCUUCUUUAUCCAUUCAUCUGUCGAUGGACAUACAAACUCUUUCUAUAGUUUGGCUAUUGUAGAUAUUGCUGCUGUAAACAUUGGGGUGCACAUGCCCCUUUAGAUUACUGCAUUUGUAUCUUUGGGGUAAACACCCAGUAGUGCAAGUGCUGGGUCCUAGGGUAGCUCUAGUUCAAAUUUUUGGAGGAACCUCCAUGUUGUUUUCCAGAGUAUAUAGCAACAUUCUUAAUGAGUGCCUAGAAUUCCAUGGAAUGGAUGUAUCAUCUGGACUAUAGGUAUUUGAUGGGAAAAACCCUACCUGGUUCGCCAUUGUACCCAAAGAUACUGAGGAAUGAUGGAAUUUGGCAUAUACCAGGAUUCAAUAAUAUGUAUUGACUGAAUAAAUUAAUAUUGAGACUAUUUCUUUUCAUUUCUUAAUAUUAAAAUGCCAAAUGCACAUUUUUGUUGCUAAAUUCUACCAAAAUCUAUAGUAAUAAUUAUUUAUUUAGGAUACACUUCUCUAAGUAAAAAUUCUGGUUCAAAGAAAAGGCAGGUUUUAAGGCAUUAAUGUUUAUUUCCAAGUUGACCAAAUAGAAUCAUUUUACAGGCUCACUGGCCAAUAAGCUCUUUUGAAUACUUAUUUUUCUUUAUUCUUCACAAAAUUGAGAUAUUUCAUUUUUAAAAAGUCUUUAUUAAUUUCAUAGGUUUGAAGGUCAUCUAAUUUUAGUAGUUAUUUUUAUUUAUUUGAUUACUAUUUAGAUGGAUCAUUUUUAUGUUUUUGUUUUCAUUUGUAAUCCUGAGUGUCUAUUAUGCAAAAGUUUUAUGAUUUUUUUAAACAAAAUAGACUGUGGGAAUUCUUAAUCACUAUAACAUUCAUCCUAUAUUCAGUGCAAUGUCCAAAGUUUAGAGGGAUAUUUGUUUUUAAUCAUUGUUUUUCUAUCAUCAUGUUUAAGUCAGCUCAAAACCAGCAAGCUCAUUUAGUACUCCAAACAAUGGACAAUAUGUUCAAAGGAUCCAGAAGUCUGGCAGAAUCAAAUAGCAAAAAGUCAAAGAAAAGAAUUCUAAUUAAAAGCACUUUUCACGGGUCAAAAGUGUAAGCUCAUUAAUGUUUUACCGUGCAGAUGGCAUUAAUAAGUAACCAAAGAUGCAUGAUCAUCAUUAUUGUCCCCACCAUUAUUCCUUUGAUAUAAAUGGCUCAGUAGAUGUGAGGCACUUACCCAGAUGAAGAGAUUCAAUAAUUAACAUGGUACCUAGUCUCCCUCCCUACAAAAAACUCAGAGGGGUCAAUAAAGGAAGACACAAAUUAUUCAAGAGAGAAAGAAA